rnacentral:rRNA from 1 species
GACGAACUGUCCUAACGUUGUUCGGAAUCACUGGGCUUAAAGGGCGCGUAGGCGGUCCGACAAGUCGGGGGUGAAAUCCUGCAGCUUAACUGCAGAAGUGCCUUUGAUACUGUCGGUCUUGAGGGAGAUAGGGGUGUGCGGAACUCACAGUGGAGCGGUGAAAUGCGUUGAUAUUGUGAGGAACGCCGGAGGCGAAAAGCGGCGCACUGGAUCUCUUCUGACGCUGAGGCGCGAAAGCUAGGGGAGCAAACGGG